rnacentral:rRNA from 1 species
AUUGAACGCUGGCGGCAGGCUUAACACAUGCAAGUCGAACGAGUGGCGGACGGGUGAGUAAUGCUUGGGAAUCUGGAUUAUGGAGGGGGAUAACGACUGGAAACUGUCGCUAAUACCGCGUACCAUAGGCUGAGCCCAAGUGGGAUUAGGUAGUUGGUGGGGUAAUGGCCUACCAAGCCGACGAUCUCUAGCUGGUCGGAGAGGAUGACCGGCAAAACCGGGACUGGGAAACGGCCCGGACUCCGACGGGAGGAAGCAGUGGGGAAUAUUGCGCAAUGGGGGAAACCUGACGAAGCCAUGCGGCGUGAAGGAAGAAGGCCUUCGGGUUGUAAAGUUCGUUCGGUGACGAGGCGGUAAUCACAGAAGAAGCAACGGCUAACUCCGUGCCAGCAGCCGCGGUAAUUC